rnacentral:rRNA from 1 species
GAACGCGAAAGUGGAGCAUCCAUGAGUAGAGUGGCAAACGGGUGAGUAACACGUGGGUGACCUGCCUUCGAGUGGGGGAUAACGUUCCGAAAGGAGCGCUAAUACCGCAUGACAUUCCGCGUUUGGAAACGUGGAAAUCAAAGCCGGGGAUCGCAAGACCUGGCGCUCGGAGAGGGGCCCGCGGCCGAUUAGCUAGUUGGUGAGGUAACGGCUCACCAAGGCAACGAUCGGUAUCCGGCCUGAGAGGGCGGACGGACACACUGGGACUGAGACACGGCCCAGACUCCUACGGGAGGCAGCAGUGGGGAAUUGUUCGCAAUGGGCGCAAGCCUGACGACGCAACGCCGCGUGGAGGACGAAGAUCUUCGGGUCGUAAACUCCUUUCGAUCGGGAAGAACGUUCUCCGGGUGAAUAAUCCGGAGAAGUGACGGUACCGAGAGAAGAAGCCCCGGCUAACUCCGUGCCAGCAGCCGCGGUAAUACGGGGGGGGCAAGCGUUGUUCGGAAUUACUGGGCGUAAAGGGCGUGUAGGUGGCCAACUAAGUCCGACGUGAAAUCCCCAGGCUCAACCUGGGAACUGCGUCGGAUACUGGCUGGCUUGAAUUCGGGAGAGGGAUGCAGAAUUCCAGGUGUAGCGGUGAAAUGCGUAGAUAUCUGGAGGAAUACCGGUGGCGAAGGCGGCAUCCUGGACCGAGAUUGACACUAAAGCGCGAAAGCCAGGGGAGCAAACGGGAUUAGAUACCCCGGUAGUCCUGGC